rnacentral:rRNA from 1 species
AUUGAACGCUGGCGGCAUGCUUUACACAUGCAGGUCGAACGGCAGCACGGGUGCUUGCACCUGGUGGCGAGUGGCGAACGGGUGAGUAAUGCAUCGGAACGUGCCCAUGAGUGGGGGAUAGCCCGGCGAAAGCCGGAUUAAUACCGCAUACGCCCUUAGGGGGAAAGCGGGGGAUCUUCGGACCUCGCGCUAUUGGAGCGGCCGAUGUCGGAUUAGCUAGUAGGUGAGGUAAAGGCUCACCUAGGCGACGAUCCGUAGCUGGUCUGAGAGGAUGAUCAGCCACACUGGGACUGAGACACGGCCCAGACUCCUACGGGAGGCAGCAGUGGGGAAUUUUGGACAAUGGGCGCAAGCCUGAUCCAGCCAUGCCGCGUGAGUGAAGAAGGCCUCGGUUGUAAG